GGGGAAUAUUGGACAAUGGGCGAAAGCCUGAUCCAGCCAUGCCGCGUGUGUGAAGAAGGUCUUCGGAUUGUAAAGCACUUUAAGUUGGGAGGAAGAGCAGUUACCUAAUACGUGAUUGUUUUGACGUUACCGACAGAAUAAGCACCGGCUAACUCUGUGCCAGCAGCCGCGGUAAUACAGAGGGUGCAAGCGUUAAUCGGAAUUACUGGGCGUAAAGCGCGCGUAGGUGGUUAGUUAAGUUGGAUGUGAAAUCCCCGGGCUCAACCUGGGAACUGCAUUCAAAACUGACUGACUAGAGUAUGGUAGAGGGUGGUGGAAUUUCCUGUGUAGCGGUGAAAUGCGUAGAUAUUCGGAAGAACACCAGUGGCGAAGGCGGCUCACUGGCUCGUAACUGACGCUGAGGUGCGAAAGCGUGGGGAGCAAACA
rnacentral:rRNA from 1 species